UACGUAGGGUGCAAGCGUUGUCCGGAAUUAUUGGGCGUAAAGAGCUCGUAGGCGGUCUGUCGCGUCGGCUGUGAAAACACGGGGCUUAACCCCGUGCCUGCUUCCGAUACGGGCAGACUAGAGGUAUGCAGGGGAGAACGGAAUUCCUGGUGUAGCGGUGAAAUGCGCAGAUAUCAGGAGGAACACCGGUGGCGAAGGCGGUUCUCUGGGCAUUACCUGACGCUGAGGAGCGAAAGUGUGGGGAGCGAACAGG
rnacentral:rRNA from 1 species